rnacentral:rRNA from 1 species
AGAACGAACGCUGGCGGCAUGCCUAAUACAUGCAAGUCGAACGAAGGCUUCGGCCUUAGUGGCGCACGGGUGCGUAACGCGUGGGAAUCUGCCCCUUGGUUCGGAAUAACAGUUGGAAACGACUACUAAUACCGGAUGAUGACGAAAGUCCAAAGAUUUAUCGCCAAGGGAUGAGCCCGCGUAGGAUUAGCUAGUUGGUGAGGUAAAGGCUCACCAAGGCGACGAUCCUUAGCUGGUCUGAGAGGAUGAUCAGCCACACUGGGACUGAGACACGGCCCAGACUCCUACGGAGGCAGCAGUAGGGAAUAUGGACAAGUGGGCGAAAGCCUAGAUCCGAGCAAUGCGCGUGAGUGAUGAAGGCCUUAGGUAGUAAAGCUCUUUCACCGAGAU